rnacentral:rRNA from 1 species
UACGAAGGGGACUAGCGUUGUUCGGAAUCACUGGGCGUGAAGCGCACGUAGGCGGAUGUGUCAGUCAGGGGUGAAAUCCCGGGGCUCAACCUCGGAACUGCCUUUGAUACAGCACGUCUCGAGUCCGGAAGAGGUGGGUGGAAUUCCUAGUGUAGAGGUGAAAUUCGUAGAUAUUAGGAAGAACACCGGUGGCGAAGGCGGCCCACUGGUCCGGUACUGACGCUGAGGUGCGAAAGCGUGGGGAGCAAACAGG